rnacentral:rRNA from 1 species
UACGGAGGGUCCAAGCGUUAUCCGGAAUCAUUGGGUUUAAAGGGUCCGUAGGCGGUUUUGUAAGUCAGUGGUGAAAGCCCAUCGCUCAACGGUGGAACGGCCAUUGAUACUGCAAGACUUGAAUUAUUGGGAAGUAACUAGAAUAUGUAGUGUAGCGGUGAAAUGCUUAGAGAUUACAUGGAAUACCAAUUGCGAAGGCAGGUUACUACCAAUAUAUUGACGCUGAUGGGACGAAAGCGUGGGGAGCCGAACGAGGAA